UGUGGUUUAAUUCGAUGCAACGCGAAGAACCUUACCUGGCGUUGACAUACACCAGAUCGGCGCAGAGAUGCGUUUUCCCUUGUGGUUGGUGUACAGGUGGUGCAUGGUUGUCGUCAGCUCGUGUCGUGAGAUGUUGGGUUAAGUCCCGCAACGAGCGCAACCCUUGUCUUAUGUUGCCAGCACGUGAUGGUGGGGACUCAUGAGAGACUGCCGGGGUUAACUCGGAGGAAGGUGGGGAUGACGUCAAAUCAUCAUGCCCCUUAUGUCCAGGGCUUCACACAUGCUACAAUGGUCGGUACAACGCGUGUGCGACACUGUGAGGUGAAGCUAAUCGCUCUAAAGCCGGUCGUAGUUCGGAUUGGGGUCUGCAACUCGACCCCAUGAAGUCGGAGUCGCUAGUAAUCGCAGAUCAGCAACGCUGCGGUGAAUACGUUCCCGGGCCUU
rnacentral:rRNA from 1 species